rnacentral:lncRNA from 1 species
UCAGUCAUUACUCUCUCCUCUCUCUCUGUUAUUUUGUUCUUGUCCUAAAACAAGAACUAUAUUGAAACAGAAUAAGUGGUUAUGUGGGGAUUGAUGUGUUUUUUUCUUUUUCUUUUUCUUACCUAAUUUUAUCAAGCGUAUGUGAUUAGUGGGAAACUACCACACUUUCUAACUUAUGAAAUUGUGAUGUUUUUCCGUAAAAUUAAAAAGUCAUGUGUGUCUCUUUCAUUACAGAAAGUUGACAAAUAGAAGAAAUUAAAGAGGGAGAAUUUGUAUUUUCGAAUUCACACACAUACGAAAGCAACUGGUUGGAAUCUAUAAGCAAACCAUGCCAUGUAAAGCAAAGCUUUCCCGCCUGAUCAACUACUCUGAUUUUGGUACAGAGCAAUACGCAAGGAUGAAGAUUGCUUAAAUGUAUCGACUAUCGAGAAGGUAGACAUGCCAUGUUGACGGUGCGGGGGCCGAAUGAAAAUAUGCCACGUGAAAUUUACUAUCCCAAAAUACCCUUAAGGUAUCGCGAUUAUUAGAAGCUCAUUAGCUGUGACGCUACCAUACGGCUGAGUGGAUGAUGAGACAUUCAAACCAAAAACAAGCUUCUAAACGGGAAGAAUAUUUAUAAUUUUUGAAACGUGCUAAUAAAAGUUAAAUGUGAGAAUAUCAUAUUAAGAUUAGUUUGCCCUCAUAUCUACUCAAUAUCUAGAUGGG